rnacentral:rRNA from 1 species
AUUGAACGCUGGCGGCAGGCUUAACACAUGCAAGUCGAGCGCCCCGCAAGGGGCGCGGCAGACGGGUGAGUAACACGUGGGAACAUACCCUUUUCUACGGAAUAACGCAGGGAAACUUGUGCUAAUACCGUAUACGCCCUUCGGGGGAAAGAUUUAUCGGAGAAGGAUUGGCCCGCGUUGGACUAGCUAGUUGGUGGGGUAAAGGCCUACCAAGGCGACGAUCCAUAGCUGGUCUGAGAGGAUGAUCAGCCACAUUGGGACUGAGACACGGCCCAAACUCCUACGGGAGGCAGCAGUUGGGAAUAUUGGACAAUGGGCGCAAGCCUGAUCCAGCCAUGCCGCGUGAGUGAUGAAGGCCUUAGGGUUGUAAAGCUCUUUCACCGAUGAAGAUAAUGACGGUAGUCGGAGAAGAAGCCCCGGCUAACUUCGUGCCAGCAGCCGCGGUAACAC